rnacentral:rRNA from 1 species
AGUGAACGCUGGCGGCAGGCCUAACACAUGCAAGUCGAGCGGCAGCGCGGGGGCAACCCUGGCGGCGAGCGGCGGACGGGUGAGGAAUUCGUCGGAAUCUGCCUUUUUGUGGGGGAUAAUGUAGGGAAACUUACGCUAAUACCGCAUACGUCCUACGGGAGAAAGUGGGGGACCGCAAGGCCUCACGCAGAAAGAUGAGCCGACGACCGAUUAGCUAGUUGGUGGGGUAAAGGCCCACCAAGGCGACGAUCGGUAGCUGGUCUGAGAGGAUGAUCAGCCACACUGGGACUGAGACACGGCCCAGACUCCUACGGGAGGCAGCAGUGGGGAAUAUUGGACAAUGGGCGCAAGCCUGAUCCAGCCAUGCCGCGUGUGUGAAGAAGGCCUUCGGGUUGUAAAGCACUUUUGUCCGGAAAGAAAUCCCUGGAGCUAAUACCUUCGGGGGAUGACGGUACCGGAAGAAUAAGCACCGGCUAACUUCGUG